GUCUCAACAAUAGACUCGGUGAAAUUUAAAUUCCAGUGAAGAUGCUGGGUACCCGCGACAGGACGGAAAGACCCCGUGGAGCUUUACUGUAGCUUGAUAUUGAAUGUUUGUGCUGCAUGUGCAGGAUAGGUAGGAGACUUUGAAGUCGGAACGCUAGUUUCGAUUGAGUCACCCUUGAGAUACUACCUCUGUUGUAUGAACGUUCUAACUCUGAUCAGUUAUCCUGAUCGAAGACAGUGUCUGGCAGGCAGUUUGACUGGGGCGGUCGCCUCCUAAAAGAUAACGGAGGCGCUCAAAGGUUUGCUCAGAAUGGUUGGAAAUCAUUCGUAGCGUGUAAAGGCAUAAGCAAGCUUGACUGUGAGACUGACAAGUCGAGCAGGUACGAAAGUAGGACUUAGUGAUCCGGUGGUUCCGUAUGGAAGGGCCAUCGCUCAACGGACAAAAGCUACCCCGGGGAUAACAGGCUCAUCUCCCCCAAGAGUCCACAUCGACGGGGAGGUUUGGCACCUCGAUGUCGGCUCAUCGCAUCCUGGGGCUGUAGUCGGUCCCAAGGGUUGGGCUGUUCGCCCAUUAAAGCGGUACGCGAGCUGGGUUCAGAACGUCGUGAGACAGUUCGGUCCCUAUCCGUCGUGGGCGCAGGAAAUUUGAGAGGAUCUGUCCUUAGUACGAGAGGACCGGGAUGGACAUACCUCUGGUGUACCAGUUGUUCUGCCAAGAGCACCGCUGGGUAGCUACGUAUGGAUUAGAUAAUCGCUGAAAGCAUCUAAGUGAGAAACUAACCUCGAGAUGAGAUUUCCCAUUCGUCAGAAGUAAGACCCCUGAGAGACGAUCAGGUAGAUAGGCUAGAAGUGGAAGUGUAGUGAUGCAUGGAGCGGACUAGUACUAAUAGGUCGAGGACUUAACCAAG
rnacentral:rRNA from 1 species